UUUUCAUCUCUGCCAGAUUUGUUGAAUAUAUAUAACGUAUAUUCUGUGAAAUGUAUGUGAAACCAGACUUAACAAGUCUGGCAAGGCAGAAUUUUCUUGUGAUGAGUUCUUCUUCCUGAGAAGAGGCUGCAAAAGAACGGUGCUUCCUACUGAAGUUUCUGAUUUGUACAGCAGUAACCAGAGGAGAAUGCAGCCCCUAGUUCUGCUGAUGGGCACAAACUGAUGAUGAGAAGGCCUUUCCAUCCCUUGUGCCAUUAGGCAGGGGACUCUGAAGCCUCCAUUCCCCUGCCUGGCUCACAAGGAGGUGGGAGCUCAGCUGUGGCAGCUGAGCAGGCAGAUGCCAGCAUGCUCAGACAGGGAGGAAAAUUGUCUGGUUUUGGCUGGGCUGUUGAAGAAGAACUGUUUUUACUUCCAUAGUUUUUCUACAUCCUAAAGAAUAUUUGAUUUUUCUAAAAGGACAUUUUCUGUCACAAAAUACCUCCUGGUGGAAAGCUUCCAGUCAGUGGUCCUGAAUGAGACAGAGGGAUUCCAGGAGAAGGAAAGAAAAUCAAGAUAGAGAAGUCUUUCUCUGGAGGACUGGGGUCUGUCCCUCUUUCUGCCACAAGCUCUGAUGGUUUUGGUUAAUUGCUUCAGUUAGACUUUUCACAGUCACCAAAUCGCCUUCGUCUUCCAGAUACUUGACUUGAAGCCAUUUGCAAAGGCAAUAUAUGUUUAAGCUGUAGAAAAUCCACCAAGAAUGCUUAACGUGGCUACCACUCAAUAUAAAACAUGCUACAAGUUUGGAUUACAAGUUUUUCAAAUUGGGUUUCCGCAAUUACAGAUCCUUUUGUAAACUGAGAUUAUCAAGAGUCAAGUCAAACUUGUUGUGGAAGCAAAUUAAUUCAUAAAUAUGCAAAAACGCUCGAUAAUUUAACAAAGAUGAUCAAAGUCAUAAUGAAAUUACAAGUUGAUCUUCAGGAGCAGGCUGAGAAAGAUAUGCAGGGACUGAUGAGAAAACAGCAUAGCUGCUCAUUAACUUCAACCAAUCCUAUGGGUAGGUAGCGGGGAGGAGGGAAUGGUAUUCAAGUAAAUUUAUAAUUCUAUGCAGAAAGGGAAUGCAUAGAUGACAUUUUGAUUGUUAACUUUUUAGGGCUUUGCAACUUUAAUAAUGCUUUUUAAUGUAGGAUACAAAGAAACUGAAGGUUGUUACUAGAGUUCCUUGUACCUUCAAAAUACAAUGAAAGGAAGUCUAGCAUUCAUUUUACUGCUUACAGUUUUGAAAGACCUGAAAGCUGUGGAGGAACCGUUGAACUGUUCGUAUUAAAACAAGCAUAUUGUACUGAUCCCACAGUGAGCCAGACAGAUAGCUGAAGAAUGUCAAUAAAUAUCUAUUUAUAGUUUAAGUAACUUACUGUGGCUAAGUCUGUGAUCCUUUUUUAUAAACUCUGUAACUCAAUUACAGAAAGACUAUCUGGCUGAAAGAGAAAAGCUCAGCUCUUUGAGUAUUUUCAUAUUAAACUACCCAUGAAGAAUUAGGUGCUAAACAUCUUCAAAUAUCUGAUCCUGAGCAGUAGCCUAAUUAAAUAGAAAUAGAAAUACUACAUUCUAGCUUUCUAGAUCUGAGUGGGGAGAAGACUGGCUUUUUCCUGCCAUCUAAAAGCCUAAGAAAUGAGUUUUCCUUGAAGCCUUCACUGAAGCAGCAGUUUCAAGUGCUAGUUGCGGACUCUUCUAAAAAAUAUGCCUCAAAUUCAUACGUGCAAGAAUUAAUUUCCAAGAAGAUGAUUUGGAGAUAGUCCAGUUUGUCAGAGAAUUUAAAACGACCUGUUUUUUUAUUAUCUGGCCAGCAGGAAUGCUUGCAAACACUCAAAAACUCAGAAAGCAUUUUGCAGGUAUUUGACAGAUUGUUCAAGCAGAGCGUGAUAAGGUGAGCUUAAUAAAAAUAUAUUAUUGUAUUAAUAAAAAAAAAUUACAAAAAUUA